rnacentral:lncRNA from 1 species
CUCAAAACGAAACCAGCAGGGGCCCUGUGGGCCUCGCCCCGCCUCCCCUGGGGCUGCAGCUCCCAGCUGACCAGGUGUGCAGGCCCUGGGGCCUCCCCGGGGCUGGAGGCCACACCUCAGAACCACAGGCCAGCGUUGGAUUUUGCAGUGGGGACCAAUGAGAUUUCAAGGGCAGCCACAUCAGCCCCACCCCCACCCUGAUGCCUGUGAGGGGACCAGUGUACAGGGUAGCCCAAAGUGCAGACCAUCCAAUAUUCAUCAGUGCAUAGUGGAUACACGAAAAGUGCUCCCUCCACAGCUGGGAGCAUCACUCAACCAUGAAAAGGAGAGAAGCCCUGACACUUGCCACCACGUGGACCGAUCCUGAGAACACGAUGCUCAAUGAGAGAGGCAGACACAGAAGAACACACAGGGUGUGACUCCACUGAUGGGAAACGUCCAGAACAGGCAGGUCCACAGACACAGAGAGUGGGUUCCUGGUUGUAAGGGGCUGGGGGAGGGGAUGGGGUUGAUGCUAAUGAGGAUGGG